rnacentral:rRNA from 1 species
AGUCAGUAACGCCCGAAGUCAGUGACCCAACCAUAACCGGAGGGAGCUGCCGAAGGUGGGACCAUAACUGGGGUGAAGUCGUAACAAGGUAGC